ACACGACUCUCGGCAACGGAUAUCUCGGCUCUCGCAUCGAUGAAGAACGUAGCGAAAUGCGAUACCUGGUGUGAAUUGCAGAAUCCCGCGAACCAUCGAGUCUUUGAACACAAGUUGCGCCCGAGGCCACUCGGCCGAGGGCACGCCUGCCUGGGCGUCACGC
rnacentral:rRNA from 1 species